UCGAGCGAACAGAUAAGGAGCUUGCUCCUUUGACGUUAGCGGCGGACGGGUGAGUAACACGUGGGUAACCUACCUAUAAGACUGGGACAACUUCGGGAAACCGGAGCUAAUACCGGAUAAUAUGUUGAACCGCAUGGUUCAAUAGUGAAAGAUGGUUUUGCUAUCACUUAUAGAUGGACCCGCGCCGUAUUAGCUAGUUGGUGAGGUAACGGCUCACCAAGGCAACGAUACGUAGCCGACCUGAGAGGGUGAUCGGCCACACUGGAACUGAGACACGGUCCAGACUCCUACGGGAGGCAGCAGUAGGGAAUCUUCCGCAAUGGGCGAAAGCCUGACGGAGCAACGCCGCGUGAGUGAUGAAGGUCUUAGGAUCGUAAAACUCUGUUAUUAGGGAAGAACAAACGUGUAAGUAACUGUGCACGUCUUGACGGUACCUAAUCAGAAAGCCACGGCUAACUACGUGCCAGCAGCCGCGGUAAUACGUAGGUGGCAAGCGUUAUCCGGAAUUAUUGGGCGUAAAGCGCGCGUAGGCGGUUUUUUGAGUCUGAUGUGAAAGCCCACGGCUCAACCGUGGAGGGUCAUUGGAAACUGGAAAACUUGAGUGCAGAAGAGGAAAGUGGAAUUCCAUGUGUAGCGGUGAAAUGCGCAGAGAUAUGGAGGAACACCAGUGGCGAAGGCGACUUUCUGGUCUGUAACUGACGCUGAUGUGCGAAA
rnacentral:rRNA from 1 species